AUGACGUCAAAUCAUCAUGCCCCUUAUGAUUUGGGCUACACACGUGCUACAAUGGACAAUACAAAGGGCAGCGAAACCGCGAGGUCAAGCAAAUCCCAUAAAGUUGUUCUCAGUUCGGAUUGUAGUCUGCAACUCGACUACAUGAAGCUGGAAUCGCUAGUAAUCGUAGAUCAGCAUGCUACGGUGAAUACGUUCCCGGGUCUUGUACACACCGCCCGUCACACCACGAGAGUUUGUAACACCCGAAGCCGGUGGAGUAACCUUUUAGGAGCUAGCCGUCGAAGGUGGGACAAAUGAUUGGGGUGAAGUCGUAACAAGGUAGCCGUAUCGGAAGGUGCGGCUGGAUCACCUCCUUU
rnacentral:rRNA from 1 species